rnacentral:rRNA from 1 species
UCGGCGGGGAAGAAAUCGCACAGGUUAAUACCUUGUGUGGAUGACGGUACCGGAAUAAGAAGCACCGGCUAACUACGUGCCAGUAGCCGCGGUAAUACGUAGGGUGCGAGCGUUAAUCGGAAUUACUGGGCGUAAAGCGUGCGCAGGCGGUUUCGUAAGAUAGAUGUGAAAUCCCCGGGCUCAACCUGGGAACUGCAUUUGUGACUGCGAGGCUAGAGUAUGGCAGAGGGGGGUGGAAUUCCACGUGUAGCAGUGAAAUGCGUAGAGAUGUGGAGGAACACCGAUGGCGAAGGCAGCCCCCUGGGCCAAUACUGACGUUCAUGCACGAAAGCGUGGGGAGCAAACAGGGUUAGAUACCCUGGUAGUCCACGCCCUAAACGAUGUCAACUAGGUGUUGGGAGGGUUAAACCUUUUAGUGCCGUAGCUAACGCGUGAAGUUGACCGCCUGGGGAGUACGGCCGCAAGGCUAAAACUCAAAGGAAUUGACGGGGACCCGCACAAGCGGUGGAUGAUGUGGAUUAAUUCGAUGCAACGCGAAAAACCUUACCUACCCUUGACAUGUCAGGAAUCCUGGAGAGAUUUGGGAGUGCUCGCAAGAGAACCUGAACACAGGUGCUGCAUGGCUGUCGUCAGCUCGUGUCGUGAGAUGUUGGGUUAAGUCCCGCAACGAGCGCAACCCUUGUCAUUAAUUGCCAUCAUUCAGUUGGGCACUUUAAUGAGACUGCCGGUGACAAACCGGAGGAAGGUGGGGAUGAGGUCAAGUCCUCAUGGCCCUUAUGGGUAGGGCUUCACACGUCAUACAAUGGUCGGUUCAGAGGGUUGCCAACCCGCGAGGGGGAGCCAAUCUCAGAAAGCCGAUCGUAGUCCGGAUCGCAGUCUGCAACUCGACUGCGUGAAGUCGGAAUCGCUAGUAAUCGCGGAUCAGCAUGUCGCGGUGAAUACGUUCCCGGGUCUUGUACACACCGCCCGUCACACCAUGGGAGCGGGUUCUGCCAGAAGUAGUUAGCCUAACCGCAAGGAGGGCGAUUACCACGGCAGGGUUCGUGACUGGGGUGAAGUCGUAACAAGGUAGCC